rnacentral:rRNA from 1 species
UACGUAGGGGGCAAGCGUUGUCCGGAUUUAUUGGGCGUAAAGAGCGUGUAGGCGGCCAGGUAGGUCUGCUGUGAAAACUCGAGGCUUAACCUCGAGCUGUCGGCGGAAACCAUCUGGCUAGAGUCCGGAAGAGGAGAAUGGAAUUCCCGGUGUAGCGGUGAAAUGCGCAGAUAUCGGGAAGAACACCCGUGGCGAAGGCGGCAUUCUGGACUGUAACUGACACUGAGGAACGAAAGCCAGGGGAGCAAACGGG